rnacentral:rRNA from 1 species
GAGAAACGAAACAAGUGAUGUGGAGUAAAACUUAAAAAAGACGGUCCCAGUUCGAAUUGAAGGCUGAAAUUCGCCUUCAUGAAGUCGGAAUUGCUAGUAAUGGCAGGUCAGCAUACUGCCGUGAAUACGUUCCCGGGCCUUGUACACACCGCCCGUCACACCAUGAGAGUUGGAGAUACCCGAAGCCUGUGAGCUAACUUUUAGAGGCAGCAGUCGAAGGUAGAAUCAAUGAUUGGGGUGAAGUCGUAACAAGGUAGC